AUGGGUUAGGGAAGCAGCGAGCUGUGGAAAGAACACAACCCACAAAGCAUCUGGACCUGUCCCAAAGACGCCAGAACCAGAAGGUUGCUGUGGUCCCCUGGUGGCUCCCAUCUCAGGCACCAGGAAAUCCCAAGACCUUCACGUGGUUCGUGAGGCCCUUGGCAAUGGGUUUCCUGCCCGGACCUACUGUCCUUCGGUGUCCCCUUUGCUCACUCCCCUGCGGUCACCAUGACUCCUUGGUCAUCUCUGAAGAGCAAGCACAUUCCUGACUCCACGCUGUUCUUGCCCUCAUAGGUCUCUCCAUCUGGGUCCUAAACAUCCACGUCACCAUUUUGCUUAGCUCAGAGAGCGGAUUAGCUCUUCUCCAUCGGGUACUCUGACAUCUCCUAAAGGCUGGCCGCCCCCCAGCCCCCUGGCCUGCUCCACUUUCUUCCCAGAAAUUAGGACUCCCUAUUAUUGACCUUUGAAAUCUCUACCGUUGCCUCCCCAGCUGGACUGUGUACUCCGCGAUGGUGACGCCUUUGUCUAGUGCCUGGAUCAGUUCUUGGCAUGGAGCAGUGCCCGACACAAAUGGUAGAAAACCAUGAAUGAAUACAUGAAUCACAGGCAGCUGAGGGCUUAAGGUAUCCCGUUACUCUCCGGCAGGAGGAAUUUGUGGAUCUUCAUUUUAAUUCUCCUCCAUCGUUCUCUGCUUCCUGCUAUUUCCAGACAAUCCCGCGCCAUCAACUCAACGAGAGCUCUUCCCUCCCAGCUCCUGCUGACUCAUAACCCGGCUCUCUCACAGCCCCUGCACACUGCUCCUCCUCUCCCUGCAUCUGUCCAACUUCUGCUCCUGCGGCCUCCUCCUCCUCCUCCUCCUCCCUGGCUUUCCAGGUGAAAUUCCAAGAUGGAGACUCCGAGUGCAUGGGCCACUCUCCAUGGAGCCCGAGGUUAGGCCCUUGGACAGUGUUGUGGGUCAGAUGCCCAUGCCUACUCAGUCAGCAGUGGCCCAGGCCCAGAGAUGGCCGCCUAGCUGUGGAGAAGUACUAUUGCACUCAGCAGAGGUGCAUGGAGGAGCAGGAGUCUUCAUGACCUGUGGGCUGCAGCCUGGCAGCCAUGCCGAGGGAAUCCUACCCUGGAGAGAUGCUUAAGUCUUCUGAGCAGGGCAGUCAUGGAACAGGUCCUCUCACCAUUGUGACGCUCACUGGAGCCUAAACUGAAUUUUUAGUCUCCAAACUAUGAGAUAAAUAGAGACUCAGGGAGCCACAGCACCCCAUAAAAACAGGGCUCCUGGCGGCGUAAACAGAAACUGGCUCUGACCAUCUUAAGUUCAAACAAAGUUUACUGGAAACACAUGCGAGUCCUGCAGAGCAUCAUCAUCACUGGAGAAUCACCCUGCAAAAGAGGUUCCAAGGGCCUAGGCAGGCAGGAGAGGGCAACAAGCUCAUCAGAACAUUAGCAAUGGGAUUAAUUCGCUGUAACAAUGCCACCUAUUUUUGUGUCACUGUCGUCUGAAUUCUGGGAGAAAGAGAUGAAUAGUACUUGGUUGGGCCAUGCCCAUACCCCACAACACAGGCUCACUGACUGUGCAAGGUAGUUUAGAUAAGUGGUCAAGAACUGGUCUCUGCAACCAGGUUUGAACCCUCACUCUGCCACUUACAAGCCAUGUGACCUUGUGCAAGCCACUUUUGACAUGCCCCAGCCUCCUGCUCUGAAGGAGUCAAUUAUCCUAGUGACUGUACAGGGCAGGGGUCCUGCAAGUCCUGACACUAGUACUCUACUGCAAGAGCAGUGCCCUCAGUGCCGGAUUUGCUGGCCAACUAGGAAGGCCGGCCUGAAGAGUCAUUCUCCAAAAUACACCAGGAACUGCUACCCAGUGAGGCAGAGGGCCAAGCAGCAGUCACUAGGCUGGCACAUCUUCUCCCUCCACCAGGCUGGGAUGCCACGUGGACAGCAGACACUGCUGCUUUCUUUGCUGCCUCCCCCAACACCUGAGCCUCUGGCACGCUGGAUAGGGCUCAGGGAGCCACUGUAGAAUUCGAGAAUGUUCCUGAGCUGUCUUUGUGAGAGAUCAACUACUCCAGGGCUCUGCCCCGAGAAGGCACACAAGAACUACUUGCUGAUGGAAUUGAUAGGAUGGAGGUGAUGGAAAACCAGGGGAGUGUGAUAUUCUAAAUAAACCUGUGCACAUUGGGAUCAAAGAAGGGAAGCUGCGUUUGGGGAUCUGGUGGCAGGCAAGUGGUAAGUAACGGUGUUCUGGUGUGAUAAGGCUAAUGAAAGAUUCUAAUGACAGAGGGGGUACUCAUUUCUGCUGGACAGUUAAUGCUUUCAGGUCAUUAUGAUGGAGACAGAGAAGCCACUAGUCACUUGCCACAUUACCUUGAGAGGGGGUGGCUCAUCUACCACAAUGUCCUGUCUCAGCCUCUGGUCUCUAUCCUGGUCUCUUCCAUUCUGACUGGUUGGUGGGAGGCACUUGGUUGGUUACUCUGCCAAGCUUGCUCACAGAGGUAUCAGGAAUCCUUGAUCUCUGAACCCUGGAAGAGCUCCAUUCUCCAGCUCUCAGUGACUCAGUCUAGACAAUAGAGCAACCUUUGCCUCGAAUUCUCAUGGAAGUGUGAAUCAAGUGGAACCACAUCCAUGGAUAUUUCAUCUUCUGUUGGAAAGAGACAGCCCAACUUCAACUGGCUUCUAUAAAAGGGGGAUGUGACAGCUCAUCUGAGCAGCCUAGGGGUGGCCUGUUUCAGGUAUAGCUGGCUCAAGUGCAAAAUGAGCAUCUGGUUUCUGUCCAUCUCUCAGCUCUCCUGUUGUAUCGAUUUCAUUCUUAGUCCCUAAAUUGUGCCCUCAUUCCCUUGUAGCUACUGUGACUCAUGCCCUCAAGUCAAGUUCAGCUGUCUAGUAGAGUUGGGAUAGAGUAUGGUUGGCUAAUGUGAGUCGUAUGACCAGGAAGAUGAACUGCAUUGGCCUCCAUCCUGUGCCAAACAAUCCAUGUAUUAUGGAGUUGGGGGUCUCCUAAGAAACUGAGGCAGAGCAAAAACUCUCUUCAAACUCUGAUUCUUGGGAUCAAGUCAGAAAGAUUUCAGACAUGUCACUCAGAAUAAUAGGAAGGAGUUUAUUGAAGGGAUCAGGAAAUGGGAAAGGGGACACUCAAGGGAAAGAGUGGGUCCUCUCAGAGAGGAGGGUCAAUGUGCCUCUCCUGUGCUCCAGUUUCAUUGGGGAUCCCAGAGAAGUUUCCAGAGAGUCCUGCACAGGUUCACCUCCUGACUUUUGACUGACAGCGGUGUGCCAUCAGACUUUCAAGUCCCCACUGUUGUAGCAACUCUUGGUCACCUGGUCCCAUGCUGAAUCGUUCUAAUUGGAUUCUUAACCAUACAUUCUUAAAGAUGUUUGUGGUUAGGAGAAACUACUAUCCUUCUCUCCCAGAGUUUCAGGAUCUGGUCACAAAAGUCUCCUUCAGGGUAACUUGGAUUCCUCUUAUCAACCUUACUUUGCGCCUGCAUUUCUCCUGUAGAUAACAAGUAAUUUGCUGAGGAAUGUGACAUCUCCUGCCCACUGAGUCCAGGCAG